rnacentral:precursor_RNA from 15 species
UCUAGUUCCCCACGGUCAUCCGCCUCUAUUUUUGGCAAUUGAUAGAAUUCACACUGUAACCUCAUUAUGUAAUCAGUGGUUCUCUCAUUGCCAAGCCUGGUGGCGUGAUUUGAUUACAUCUCAUAAU